UUAAUUAAACAAUGCAUUUCACUAGAAGAGUGAAAACUUGGAUAAAGCCUAAUGUGAGAAAUGGAUCAUAUGACAUCUAGUAUUGAAUUUCAGGAGUUCAACUAUUUUCUAAAGAACAAACACAGAAGAAGCAAGCUGACCAUCUCUCUACCCAGGUGCUGUGCCGUUUGUCACGUUGCUUGAUGGCAUUCCAGUGAUCUUGGGAAGGUCUAUCUUAUGGGCUCACCAUUUACUGAACUAGAAAUGGCAAUGAUUCUAUUUGCUAUGUUGGUUUUUGCUCUGGUCACUGCAUUUGGAAUCUACAGUGAAAAUCAUGACAGUACUGGACAAAAACUAAAUUCCCCCCAGCAGACUUUAUUAUAGUAUGACCUACAUUUUCUUUUUACACUGGAAAUCACUCAGUGGUUUUGCUCGUAUCCAUUUGGUCCAUCAGGAUAGCAUUCUUCUGGAGAACACUCGUUUGCUUUGACUGGAAUCUGCCUUGUAUACAAACAAGAACAAAUAUUGCAAAAGACAGAUCAAUUGGAUGUAAAGAGAACAAAUCAGACAGUGCAUCAUGUGUGACAGGCUAAGAAAUGACAGACUACCUCUACUUGAAGAAAUCAAAAUUUUAAUGAAAUAGAGUUGACAUUUAAUCAUACCAUUAGGUGGCUAUAGCUAUCAUCUCUCAUUAAUCUUUUUAUUGUGCUUCCAACCAACUUUACUUCUAUUUUUUUUUCCUUUGGCCCUGGCUCUUUAAUUUAACAUCUGUGUUAAAAUAUUUAGUUCUCUCACACACCUAAAGCCUCUUCAUCGUGGUUAUAGAUGUAAAAAGUGUUUGUGUCUUUAAUUAAUACUCUGAAUUUUCUUCACUUAAGACUGGAAAUUGAUGGCUCAGCCCUUUUGCUUGAUUUUUUCCUGCAAUAUAGUACUGCUCCAUUAUUCCUAUCACUGUAAUAAAACAUUCAUUUCAGUGGAAAGGCCA